CCCGGCACCGUUCCUCAGCCUCAGCCUUCCGUUUGGACCCCAGCUCCCGCAUCGGGCUGGGGGGAGGUGCCGGGGGAGGAAGGUGUCGGGGAAGCCAGGGAAGAGGGCCCCACUUGAUUUCUACCCAGCCCUAAGUGGGAGGUGAUUUACUUACUCUCGCUCACCCGUGCCAAGGAUUUAUGAAGGGUUGAAAACUGUGCCAGGGGUCUCUGCGGAUGGGUGUGGGGGCCUGGAACCCACCCCUCCACAGCAAGAAUGGAGAAAAAAAGUCGUAGUGGGGAUUUUUCUGGUCUGAGUCUUUCGGCUUGACUGGCUUCAUGCAGCCUUUAUUGUUGGGUUUUGUUUUGUUUUGUUUUGUCUGUCAACCAGUCACGGUGUGCUAAACGUCACCAAAGAGGGGUCAGCAGGAACAGUGGGGUGAGAGGGCGGGUGUCUGUCUGCAGGGAGCUCCCCUUCCUGGCACUGUAUUCCGCACCCGCCUUCAGAGGGAUUGGCAUUUGAUUUAGGGUCGACCAUAGGGAGGUGGACGCGUUGGCCGAGCUACUGGGGUGGCUUGUUGCCAGGGACCAGGGGUGAAGCUCAGGGAACAGCUGGAGCAUGACCCCGGCCCCAUCCCUGAGGUGGGACCAGCUCAGAGCGGUGUCAGGGCUGUGGAGAAAUCUGGCCCCAGGGCUCAGUGCAGAGACCAGAGGAAGGAGGGGAGAAAAUGCACCCGCAGAGGCAAACCUGGCUGGCUGGGAAGAUGGGGAGCGUUCCCUGUAGGCAGAGUUACCUUGGUCCGUGUUUAGGGGAUACAAGCGAAGAGGCAGGACAGCUUCCCGGGACUGAGGCUGGCGGUUCCUCUGGGUCCUCUGUCCAUGGAGUUGUCCCCUCACUUGAGAGACCCACAGAGCAGGGAACAUUAUAAGUGCUUGAACAGACAAGCAGGGGCAUUCCAGGGGCAUCCCAGGGCAGGUGCUUCUGGGAGAACUGUCAUGGGAUAGUGCAGGGUAGGUCACUUCUCCCCUGCAGCUGGGCCACAGGGAACCCCCUGAGUGACCAACCUCAAGUUCAAGGAACCCACCUACCACGGAGGAAACGCUUUCCUUCUGGCCCAAACCUGUAGAGCCUCUCACCCACGACCACUAUGAGACUCCCAGGGAACAGUGGGGAUGUGAUGGGUACGAUCUUGUUUGAGCCCACAACGUUUGGAGAGGAUAAUCCACAUAACCCACAAGGUUAUGAGAGCAAUGUCUUCCUGCUUACAGAUGGAGAAACUAUGCUUGAAGACAAGGUCUGAGUGCAGAAAUCCCUGGGGCCAGGCUGGCUGGGAAGUCUGCAACCAGCAGGUAGAGAGGAGAGAGCUGGAGGGAGAGCGCCGCCUUCAACUGCCUGCUCCUACCGUGAAUGGGAAUGAACAAGAUGGGUAUGGUCCGACCAUGACACGAACCCCCCAGAAGGAGCAGGAAGUAUGCUCUAGCCACAAGAAUUUUGCCCCCAGAUGCUGAGAGUCCUUUCUAUUGCCUUCUAUCAAUGUAUUUUAUUUUGGCAGAUGGGGGACAGAAAUUCUCUGGACUUGGAGUUAUUAUAUGAAAAGUGUGUAUGAGUGUGUGUGUGUGUGUGUGUGUGUGUGUGUGUGUCAGGGGGACUAAAAAUUUUCAGCCUACCACCCCCACACCAGCAAGCUGAUCGAGCAGUUCUGCAAUCCUCUGGAAGAUGCUGAAAUCCAACGUGAGCCUUUCCCCAAACCAGAAUGACAAGCUCUUUGCAUACAGGGAAGUUCCCCAGUCUGUCCCCAUUCUCCACCCUGCACACAUGUCACAGGACACCUGGACAGGUUCUGGCAGGCUCCGAACUCUGUGAGCCUAUGUACUGAGGUGAGGGCCAGGCUGGUCAAGAUGAAGGAAUGUAUGUCGGAAGCUGGGACACCCAGCCCAGGAAGCUAGGCUGUCCCAAAAAGGAAGGGAUAGAAUCCAGCAGUGGGGGCAGGGGUUAAAUGCAAGAACUCGUGAGUCACUUAGACCUGCGUUCAAAACUGGCUUUUUCCCCAUCGCUUACCGGCCACUGGCCAUUGGUCAACAUUACCAACUCUCUGUGGGUUUCUCCGUCUGUGAAAUAGGAUGAUAAUACCUACUUCAAAAGGUCACAGUAAGGAUUAACCUUUAAAAACAUACCUAAGUGAACACCUGUAGGCAAAAAACAAUAAUAACAAAACAACAAAACAACAGAACAAAAAAAAUCAAACCCAACGCCAAAUCCCAAA